UUUCUAUCCAGAGAGGUGGAGGGACUGGCCCUACGAAACCUCGGCAACAUUUAUUGUGCCAAUUCCAGCAAGCGUAUGCUUGAAAGAUAGGAA
rfam:Bacillus amyloliquefaciens FZB42, complete genome.